UCCCAAUUCCCUUGGUCAUUAGCAUCUGACAUGUCUGAGAACCACAACAGCAUUGAAUGCACGCUGGGAGCUGACAGAGCCCAGAGUGCAGCCCCUGUUCUCUGCUGCACUGCUGGCGCUGGCGCUGGCGGGGGUGGGCGGGAGGAUGCCUGGAGCACAGGGUCCCCACGGCAGCCUGGCUGCUGGGGCCACUCUGCCAUCUCCCUUGCACCCAGAGACACUGCCUGGCAGCCCGAGGCAGCAGAGAAACCGCAGUGCUGGAGAGGGGGGCUGCACACGCAGGGAGGUGACCGCGUGUGGCUUCGGCACGGCCGCGCUGCCCCUGCCCCGCGGCAGCCGGGAGGGCCCACGUGUCCCCCACAGCAGGGACAGGGAUGGGGGGCUGUGCCACGGCUGCCCCGGAGGAAAUGGGCCGGGAAAGGGCUCGGGGAGGCAAACGGCCGCGGGAGUUUGGUUAGCUGCACCCCAGGCUGGCGAGAGGCCCCUGUUUCCCCCGCGCCCGCUGUCCCGCCGAGAUUAGCGCUCGGCUGGCUGGGCUUGACGGGCAGGCGGAAGGGGCCGCGCACACGAGCACAGCGGGGCCGCCCGGAAACACGGGAAAAACGGGCACCGGGCUGCUCCUUCCCUCUGCAAACCGGGCACCGGGCCGCUCCUUCCCUCUGCAAACCGGGCACCGGGCUGCUCCUUCCCUCUGCAGAGCAGGCACUGGGCCGCUCCUUUCCUCUGCAAACCGGGCACUGGGCCUCUUCUUCUCUCUGCAAACCGGGCACCGGGCCGCUCCUUCCCUCUGCAAACUGGGCACCAGCGGGCUGCUCCUUUCCUGCAAACCGGGCACGGCCCUCCUUCCUCUGGCCGUGCCAGCUCCGUCCCUCUGCCAAACCGGGCACCGGGCUGGCUUCCCUGGGCCAGCCCCGUGGCCAUCCCCCCUGUGCCUGCUGGCCCCAGGGCCUGGGGCCAUCACCCCUUGCGGGGCCAGGCCUGGGCUGUGCUGUGCAGGAGGGCCGUGGCUGCCAUGGCUCUCCCAGAGCCAUCCUUGCUCCUGGCCUGCAGGAAGGCCAUGGCUGCCACAGCUCUCCCAGAUCCAUCCUUGCUCCUGGCCGGCCACAUCGGGAGGGUGACCCGAUUCCCUCAUGGCUGGUGUCACCCGUGCCGGUGCCACUAGAGCUGGCUCCCCCUCCAUCCCUUCCCCACGGGGCUGCCAGCUCGGCUCAUGCCCAGCCAAGCGCGGGGGAUGAAGGGGCGCUGGUGGCUCCCCAGGAGCGCUGGUGGCAGCAGCGAGGUCAGGCCAUGGCGCAAAUGCCGCCGAUCAGAGCCGCCCGUGGGGACCAUGGAGCAGCACGGAGGUGACCCCUGCUCUCGGGGUCAGCGGGCUCGGCGUGCGUCAGCCCCGAGCAGCUUAAUCCCAACCGGGCAGGGGGAGGAGCGCGG
rnacentral:lncRNA from 1 species